rnacentral:rRNA from 1 species
AUGGCGUUUCUGGGAGGAUCAUUGCACGUGCCGAUGAGCAUUAGCAGCCGGAAGAUGAUGGAGGGGAAGAGCUACGACGGGUCAGGGUUGUGGCGGCAGGCGCCGCUGCCCGUGAGGCAGCUGUUCUGGAGGGUGAGGCGAGCCAUGCUGCAGCCGAAGCGCCGCGCCAUAAGCUCCGGCUCACCGCCUGUAGCUGACACCCAUGGGGUCUUCUUCUUCUUCUUCUUCUUCUCAAUUUUACUUGCCGCCCGGCCGGACCAUGGCUCGAGGCUAGAGAUCUUAGAUGUGAGGUGUCGUCGAGGAUCAUCGCCAUCGCCCGAACGAGCUGACGGAAGGGCCAUCGCCAUGAAAGUCCCUCGUAGAUGUGAGGUGUCGUCGAGGAUCACAAUGAUAGAACUUUGCAAGCAGCCUAACACACCGCACAUGUGCGCGUACCGAGCCCCAUGGCACAACUCAAGAGCGUCCACGAUAUGGGAGGGUCUUGAGCCUGCACAUCAACAGGGGCGAGCCACCUUCAGGGGGAGAAACAGAUGGCCGCAGCAAAAUAUUUGGUACCUUUAUACUGGAAGUCAGGACAACAAGCUUGUUGCGAGACGAAGGGCAACCGAUGUUCCGGUAGGACAUGACUGUGGUGCGUGUAAAGUGGCACGAUGCAGCCACCGUCUUUCUUCUUCUCCGCCCUUUGUUUCUUUUCCGAUGAAGAUUUGUCCCAACGAACUAUAUCAUCAUGAUCGGAUAUAUGGGUUGUCAUUAACCAAGACCACAUGGUUCCAUCGUAUCUUUGUUGACACAUCAAGAGUAUUUGCCUACGUGCCAAUCUUUCCGGUCCGCCUCCCGUUGGGCGGUCAAGCCGACCCAUUUGAGAAUGCGGAUGCGCACGUCCGCCUGGCCGUCCAACUGGGCGACCCAAACGGACACGCCGUUUUAGAAGUAAGCAGAAAACCACCUGAAGGCAAGAAGCUCGUCCAGUCCAACGAAGCCAAACUGGAGCAGUCGCAGGAGAGCCACUUACCCAACGGCGAUGAAGAUGAACUUAGAGAUGCACAUCAACACGACAUCAAAAAAUUUGGUACCUUUAAACUGCAACUCAGCACAACAAUCUUGACGCGGAGACGAAGGGCAACAGAUGUGCCGGUAGGUGGUGGCAGGCCCGUCCGUCGUUCGGCGUCGGCGUCGGAGCCCUAUCCAUUCGGCGGGCUUAUAAAACGGCUACUGAGAAGCCCCAUUUGUGCAAACGGUGCCUCCAUCUCAGCUCACGAGCAACCUAAUCAGAAAAGAAGAGCAGCAGAGCCGUGUUUAAUCACUCGUCAAGGACCGAUGGCGUUUCUGGGAGGAUCAUUGCGCGUGACGAGGAGCAUUAGCAGCCGGAAGAUGAUGGAGGGGAAGAAGAGCCACGGCGCGUCCGGGUUGUGGCGGCAAGCGCCGGCGCCCGUGAGGCAGCUGUUCUGGAGGGUGAGGCGCUCCAUGCUAUGGCCGAAGCGCCGCGCCGUGAGUUUCGGGUACGACCUCAAGAGCUACUCCCAGAACUUCGACGACGGCCUCAUCCCUGUCCACCGCCUCCAGCGACACCCGUAG